AAAAAAGUGUUGAUUAGAAAAUAGUAGCUAUUGGUUUAGUUUUGUAGAGAGUCAAGGGUUGGUGAAACUUGAUAAACGGUCGAUAGUGAAUGGGUCUAUGAGUGCGAGGCGAAUAAAAAGUAGCUGAGACGGUUCUCCCGUUAUCGAGAUAGGAUAUGAAUGUAUCCGAUUGAGUUUCUAUAGGAAUAUAGAUAAGUAGGAUGGCACCGCGAAUAUACCAUUUGCUCCUAGG
rfam:Peptoniphilus sp. oral taxon 375 str. F0436 noncontiguous_finished_chromosome, whole genome shotgun sequence.